ACAGAACACUCCAUCUCGAAUAAAUAGGCAACACUGGAUAGUCACAAUUUUCAUUCCUGUUAGUUUGACAAGGUUUCUUCAGAUCAGAAAACUGAGGCUCAGACUGGUAAAAAGACUUAUCACUGGUGAUACAGCAGAUAAAUUUCAGCUCUUCUACUCCAUGAUCUGAGCAUGGAAUCACAGAAUCAAAGACUUUAAGAGUUGGAAGAGCCUCAGAGACCAACCCCUGUCCAGAAGGAAACAAAACUCAGCACUCAUGUCCAAUUGCCUA